GAUUUCAACUGAAAAAGUUAUCAACAACAAAGUUGAAUAACUCAUCAAGAUCUAAAACUUUUAUUUUGGUCAUUUCUUCAUCUGAUAAAGUGAUAGUAACAUUGUUCAUAAAAUUGACAUAUUUCUUAUAUGGUUUUAUAAACAAUAACACAUAUAUGUAAAAUUUGUGAACAAUGUUACUAACAUUUUAUCAGAUGAAGAAAUGAACAAAAAUAAAAGUUUUAGAUCAUGAUGAGUUAUUCAACUUUGUUAUUGAUAACUUUUUCAGUUGAAAUC
rfam:Oryza rufipogon genomic scaffold, chr04